GCCUACGGGGGGCAGCAGUAGGGAAUCUUCCACAAUGGGCGAAAGCCUGAUGGAGCAACGCCGCGUGGGUGAAGAAGGUCUUCGGAUCGUAAGACCCUGUUGUUAGAGAAGAAAGUGCGUGAGAGCAACUGUUCACGUUUCGACGGUAUCUAACCAGAAAGCCACGGCUAACUACGUGCCAGCAGCCGCGGUAAUACGUAGGUGGCAAGCGUUAUCCGGAUUUAUUGGGCGUAAAGGGAACGCAGGCGGUCUUUUAAGUCUGAUGUGAAAGCCUUCGGCUUAACCGGAGGAGUGCAUUGGAAACG
rnacentral:rRNA from 1 species